rnacentral:rRNA from 1 species
CCUACGGGAGGCAGCAGUAAGGAAUAUUGGACAAUGCUCGCAAGAGUGAUCCAGCCAUGCCGCGUGCAGGAAGAAUGCCCUAUGGGUAGUAAACUGCUUUUGAACUAGAGAAAACCCCAGUACGUGUACUGGGCUGAUAGUAUAGUUAGAAUAAGCAUCGGCUAACUUCGUGCCAGCAGCCGCGGUAAGACGAAGGAUGCAAGCGUUAUCCGGAUUCAUUGGGUUUAAAGGGAGCGUAGGUGGACUGAUAAGUCAGUGGUGAAAUCUCCGAGCUUAACUCGGAAAUUGCCAUUGAUACUGUUGGUCUUGAGUACAGUUGCUGUGGGCGGAAUAUGACAUGUAGUGGUGAAAUACAUAGAGAUGUCAUAGAACACCGAUUGCGAAGGCAGCUCACAAAGCUGUAACUGACACUGAGGCUCGAAAGUGCGGGGAUCAAACAGGAUUAGAUACCCUGGUAGUCCGCACCGUAAACGAUGAUUACUCGCUGCUAGGGGGCAACCUUUAGUGGCUUAGNGAAGAGAAGUAAGUAAUUACACGUGGGAGGUUACGGCCGGCGACGGAGAACGACGAAGAGAGUUAGACGNGNGAGNGCGACGACGGACGACGACGGAGGAGGAGG